AACGAACGCUGGCGGCAUGCCUAACACAUGCAAGUCGAACGGGAUCCUAGCUUGCUAGGUGAGAGUGGCGGACGGGUGAGUAACACGUGGGAAUCUGCCUUUUGGUUCGGGAUAACCGCGGGAAACUGCGGCUAAUACCGAAUGCCCUCGAGAGAGGAAAGAUUUAUCGCCAGAAGAGGAGCCCGCGUCCGAUUAGGUAGUUGGUGGGGUAAAGGCCUACCAAGCCGACGAUCGGUAGCUGGUCAGAGAGGAUGAUCAGCCACACUGGGACUGAGAUACGGCCCAGACUCCUACGGGAGGCAGCAGUGGGGAAUAUUGGACAAUGGGGCAACCCUGAUCCAGCAAUGCCGCGUGAGUGAUGAAGGCCUUAGGGUUGUAAAGCUCUUUUGCCAGGGAAGAUGAUGACUGUACCUGGAGAAUAAGCCCCGGCUAACUUCGUGCCAGCAGCCGCGGUAAU
rnacentral:rRNA from 1 species